AUUGAACGCUGGCGGCAUGCCUUACACAUGCAAGUCGAACGGCAGCACGGGAGCAAUCCUGGUGGCGAGUGGCGAACGGGUGAGUAACAUAUCGGAACGUACCCAGUCGUGGGGGAUAACGUAGCGAAAGUUGCGCUAAUACCGCAUACGAUCUUUGGAUGAAAGCGGGGGAUCGCAAGACCUCGCGCGAUUGGAGCGGCCGAUAUCAGAUUAGGUAGUUGGUGAGGUAAGGGCUCACCAAGCCGACGAUCUGUAGCUGGUCUGAGAGGACGACCAGCCACACUGGGACUGAGACACGGCCCAGACUCCUACGGGAGGCAGCAGUGGGGAAUUUUGGACAAUGGGCGCAAGCCUGAUCCAGCAAUGCCGCGUGCAGGACGAAGGCCUUCGGGUUGUAAACUGCUUUUGUACGGAACGAAAUCGCUCUGGCUAAUAUCCGGAGCGGAUGACGGUACCUGAAGAAUAAGCACCGGCUAACUACGUGCCAGCCGCCGCGGUAAUAC
rnacentral:rRNA from 1 species